UACGAAGGGGGCUAGCGUUGCUCGGAAUUACUGGGCGUAAAGCGCACGUAGGCGGGUUCUUAAGUCGGUGGUGAAAUCCUGGAGCUCAACUCCAGAACUGCCUUCGAUACUGGGAAUCUUGAGUCCGGGAGAGGUGAGUGGAACUGCGAGUGUAGAGGUGAAAUUCGUAGAUAUUCGCAAGAACACCAGUGGCGAAGGCGGCUCACUGGCCCGGUACUGACGCUGAGACGCGAAAGCGUGGGGAGCGAACAGG
rnacentral:rRNA from 1 species